AUCUUUAAAAUUAAAAAUUUUGGCGGUAUUUUAGUCUAUUCAGAGGAACCUGUUUUUUAAUUGAUAGUCCACGAUUAUAUAAAUUUUAGUUUUUAGCUUGCAUAUCGCCGUGGAUUGAAUAUUUUAUUAUUUAAUGUUUUCAGGUCAAGGUGCAGUUUAUAUUAAAAUUAAAAUGGGUUACAAUAUAAAUUUUAAUGAAAUUGGAUUUGAAAGUAAGCUCUAAAAUAUGUACAUAUCGCCCGUCGCUUUCAUUAUAAAAUGAAAUAAGUCGUAACAAAGUAGGCUUAUUGGAAAAUGAGCCUAGAAUGCAAAUUAGAGCUUGAUAAGCAUUUUAUUUACAUUAAAAAGUUAAUUGUGAAAUUCAAUUUAAUUUGAUAUGAAAAGUUUAUUUUUAAUGAAAUUUUGGAGAAUUUAAUUAAAGAAUUUAAAAUUUUAGUUUUUUAUAGAAAAAAUAUAAUGAUAGAUUAUAGUAUUGUGAAAGAAAAUUUAUAAAUUAAAAAAAGAAAAAUUUAUUUUUUGUACCUUGUGUAUCAGGGUUUAUUAAGUUAAUUUUCUCGAAUUUAUAAGAGUUAAUUUUAUUGUAAAAUAAAUAUUUAAAAUAAUUAUUUGGUAAUGAAACGUUAAUCGUUUAUAAAUAUAUCUAGUUUUUUCAGAAAUGUAUUUAAUUAAAUUAAUAAUAAAAUAAAUUGUUUGGGGAUGAGCUUGGGAUUUUAUUAUUAAAAAUUAAUUUUAUAUUAAAAAUUAUAGGAUUAGAAUUUUCUAUUUUUAAAAGGAUGUUAUAAUUGAUUAUUUUAAGUUUUUUAUGAAAGUGUAUAUUAUAAUUUUGUAAUUUAUUAAUAAUGAUAAAAUUAGUAAAUUAAUAUUAAGGAAUUCGGCAAAUAAAUUUUCCACCUGUUUAAUAAAAACAUGUCCUUUAGAGUAUAAUUUAAGGUUUGGCCUGCUCAAUGAUUAAAUGGCCGCAGUAUUUUGACUGUGCAAAGGUAGCAUAAUCAUUAGUUUUUUAAUUGAAAGCUGGAAUGAAAGGUUUGAUGAGAAAAUUGCUGUCUCUAGAAUUUUAUUUUUAAGUAAAAAAGCUUAAAUUUAAUAAAAAGACGAGAAGACCCUAUAGAGUUUUUUUAUUGGGGUGAUAUAAAAAUUAAAAAAACUUUUUAUUUUUAUGAAUAUUUGAUCCUAGAUUAAAAGAAAAAAUUACCUUAGGGAUAACAGCGUAAUUUUUAUUGAGAGUUCUAAUCG
rnacentral:rRNA from 1 species